GAACGCUGGCGGCCGGCCUAACACAUGCAAGUCGAGCGCACCCUUCGGGGUGAGCGGCGGACGGGUGAGUAACGCGUGGGAACGUGCCCUUCUCUGCGGAAUAGCCUCGGGAAACUGAGAGUAAUACCGCAUACGCCCUUUGGGGGAAAGAUUUAUCGGAGAAGGAUCGGCCCGCGUUGGAUUAGGUAGUUGGUGGGGUAAUGGCCCACCAAGCCGACGAUCCAUAGCUGGUUUGAGAGGAUGAUCAGCCACACUGGGACUGAGACACGGCCCAGACUCCUACGGGAGGCAGCAGUGGGGAAUCUUAGACAAUGGGGGCAACCCUGAUCUAGCCAUGCCGCGUGAGUGAUGAAGGCCUUAGGGUUGUAAAGCUCUUUCAGCUGGGAAGAUAAUGACGGUACCAGCAGAAGAAGCCCCGGCUAACUCCGUG
rnacentral:rRNA from 1 species